AAAAUUUUAAAAAUAUAAAAAUAAUUUUCCGUCCUUUUCUAGCAAUAUUAACAAGAAAAAGAUGCAGAUACUCCUUUAGUUUA